GACACACACAGAUAACAGAAGCUACAUUAUAUGAAUAGAAACUACAUUAUAUUACAUGAGUGCUGAGGUGCUGGCACAGGGUGCCCAGAGAAGCUGUGGCUGCCCCAUCCCUGGCAGUGUUCAAGGCCAGGUUGGAUGGGGCUUGGAGCAACCUGCUCUAGUGGAAGGGGGGUUGGAACUGGAUGAGCUUUAAGGUCCUUUCCAACCCAAACCACUGUGUGAUCACAGGUGCAUCAACCAAACAGCAACCAAAAACCAAUCCUAUUUCAAAACAGCUUCCACAAGAAGAUGCAGCUGGUGUUGGAACUCAACGCACAAUAAAAGCGCCCUUUACAGACAGAUAAAAAAGUCACAGCAAGAUCCGCUCAGAGCCUACCAGAUCUUAUGUGAUGAAGCAGACAAGAAUGGGGAAGGAGGAGCCUCACCAAUGCAGCUGGAGGUACUGGCACUUCCCCUUCACCUGUGAAGGAAGCUGCUGUCUGCUGGCCAUGCUACCAGGGGAACUGUUUCUGUGGAGCAGUGGGGUUCGGGAAUCACCAGCUAUUUCUGUAACCAUUAUUCACUAAGGACAAGAAUAGCAGAUAGCACCCAAUUCACCCACAAAAUGUGCCACCAGGUGGGGUGCCACAGCUCAGAGUCACCACACUGAACAAGCCAGAGACAGAUAUAAAGAAAUAUUCCUAUGUGUAUUUAGAGUCUCACACUCUUCAAAUUACAAUGUGCAUCAAAGUCAGAGUAUAAUUAUGUGUGAGCAGGAUAUCAGGCUUAUUUUUGUGAUGCCUUUUAUCUGAUGUACAGUUACGGUGAGACUCUGCCUCAGUUAUGGGACGUGGUUCUCUACUGCCGGACAAAGCUGUCUUGUCACUGGGUCUGGUAAAG